GCGUGUUCUUAGAUCCUGCAAUAGCUGAACAAAUGGUAAGCAGGAGAGAAGUCCCUGCAAUGUUGCAUUAAGGAAGCAUAGGUUUCCUGGGUUCAUUAAGCCUCGGGGAAGCAGUGCUUUAACAUGAUGUGCAUGAUCACUUGGUAUCUUUUGUGAUUCUACAGUAGGAAUAGAAGAUGAAUUGGCAAUCCUGUCACAAUUGGU
rnacentral:misc_RNA from 1 species